UACGUAGGGCGCAAGCGUUGUCCGGAAUUAUUGGGCGUAAAGAGCUCGUAGGCGGUUUGUCGCGUCUGCUGUGAAAACCUGAGGCUCAACCUCGGGCUUGCAGUGGGUUCGGGCAGACUAGAGUGCGGUAGGGGUGACUGGAAUUCCUGGUGUAGCGGUGGAAUGCGCAGAUAUCAGGAGGAACACCGAUGGCGAAGGCAGGUCACUGGGCCGCAACUGACGCUGAGGAGCGAAAGCAUGGGGAGCGAACAGG
rnacentral:rRNA from 1 species